rnacentral:rRNA from 1 species
AGAAUGCGGCAGCUAUACAUGCAAGUCGAACGGACCUUGAUCUUUCGGGAUCUUGGUUAGUGGCGCACGGGUGCGUAACGCGUAUGCAACCUACCUUCCACUGGGGGAUAGCCCGGGGAAACCCGGAUUAAUACCGCAUGUGACCACGGGAGGGCAUCCGACCGUGGUAAAAGCUGAGGCGGUGGAAGAUGGGCAUGCGUGCCAUUAGCUAGUUGGCGGGGUAAAGGCCCACCAAGGCGACGAUGGCUAGGGGUUCUGAGAGGAUGGUCCCCCACACUGGUACUGAGACACGGACCAGACUCCUACGGGAGGCAGCAGUAGGGAAUAUUGGGCAAUGGCCGAGAGGCUGACCCAGCCAUGCCGCGUGCAGGAAGAAGGCCUUCUGGGUUGUAAACUGCUUUUACCAGGGAAGAAAACGCUCUUGCGAGAGUAACUGACGGUACCUGGUGAAUAAGCACCGGCUAACUCCGUGCCAGCAGCCGCGGUAAUACGGAGGGUGCAAGCGUUGUCCGGAUUUAUUGGGUUUAAAGGGUGCGUAGGGGGCCCGUUAAGUCAGCGGUGAAAUCCCAGGGCUCAACCCUGGAACUGCCGUUGAUACUGGCGGG